UACGGAGGAUGCGAGCGUUAUCCGGAUUUAUUGGGUUUAAAGGGUGCGUAGGCGGACGCUUAAGUCAGCGGUAAAAUUGCGGGGCUCAACCUCGUCGAGCCGUUGAAACUGGGUGCCUUGAGUGGGCGAGAAGUACGCGGAAUGCGUGGUGUAACGGUGAAAUGCAUAGAUAUCACGCAGAACUCCGAUUGCGAAGGCAGCGUACCGGCGCCCAACUGACGCUGAAGCACGAAGGCGUGGGUAUCGAACAGG
rnacentral:rRNA from 1 species